UUGGGACACCCUGUAUAGCCGUAAAUAGGCAAACAUACUACUGCAUACUACUGUUACGCUAUCACGUGAACUUAGCUCUAUUACAUGUAGCGCUACAAUGCAAUAGAAAACUAUACUAAUGUACACCAUAAUUUACACCAUUUGUUAUUAAUUAUGUAAAAGUAGGAUAUAAAUAUUAUGACUAUAUGGUUUGAAGAAAAUAUAAGUGUGAAGGAAGUUAAAACCUUUGGACCAAAUUGAAGUGUUUUAAAAUUAAUAAGAGAUAUUAUAAGUUAAUACAAACGUGAAAUAGACAAAAUUGUUGAUACGAAGCCAAAGAGGUUAAGUGAACGCGUGGAAGUGAUAAAGGGAAGCUACCCAAGGAAAGAAUUGUGCAGUUAAUUACAAGAGUGUGUUACAGAUUUUACAACUUGGGACUUCAAGUCAGUAUCAUUAAUUAUGGCUUCCAGUAUGGCAUAUAUAUGAUUGAAUACGGUCAUUACUUCUUCUGUAGGAACAGAAAGGCCUCUUCUUCGCCAAUAGUUUUACCUUUAUCCUCCACAAUUAAUAAUUUACAUAUAUUACAAUUUAGUUUUUUAGCAAUAGAAUGGGACCCAUAACCAGAUAUGUAAAUUUUAAUGGAAUCAUCAACAACACAAGUGGAUAAAUAUCCAGUUUCGAAGAUUCCCAGAAAACAAGUUACAUCAAUGGAAAGAUUAUAAAGAUUAUUAUCGUUAUCACAAAUUUCAAAUCUAUUUUUGAUUUUAGUAAAAGAAAAAAAUCUUGCUGAUUUCGUAAAUAUAUGUUUUAAUCUAAUAUUUUUCUCUGCAUGAACUACUUCAUUGUAUGAAACGUGAUAAUUACAGCUAGAUAAAAAUCUAUAGUUUCCAAAUCGUUUCUAUAAUUUUUCAGUUGAAAAUUUUCCUGCUAAAAGAUAAGAUAUGUCAACAUUUUGAAAACAGUACUCUAUUAGUAGUAAAAGAACUCUAGUACUUUGAUGUAAAGCUUUGAAAGUGUUGAGGAAUCGAGUAUGGGAGAUUAACAAUGAGACAGUAUAUAAGAUCACGUGGAUAGAGAUUGCCGAAGCAUGCCACCGCGUGCUAACGUCUGACAAGGUUAUGCUUUUUGUUACUCACUUG